UACAGAGGGGGCAAGCGUUGUUCGGAAUUACUGGGCGUAAAGGGCGCGUAGGCGGCCUUCUAAGUCGAACGUGAAAUCCCCGGGCUCAACCCGGGAACUGCGUCCGAUACUGGAAGGCUUGAAUCCGGGAGAGGGAUGUGGAAUUCCAGGUGUAGCGGUGAAAUGCGUAGAUAUCAAGAGGAACACCUGAGGUGAAGACGGGUUGCUGGGCCAACACUGACGCUGAUGCGCGAAAGCCAGGGGAGCAAACGGG
rnacentral:rRNA from 1 species